UCCUGACGGCAUUAUGCCGACACUAGCCAAGACAGGAGACUCCAAUG
rnacentral:ncRNA from 1 species